GACGAACGCUGGCGGCGUGCUUAACACAUGCAAGUCGAACGGAAAGGCCACUUUGUGGGUACUCUAACGGCGAACGGGGGAGGAAGACGAACGUAACCUGACCCUGACUUCAGGACAAGUUCAGCAAACGGAGGCCGAUACCAAUAAGGAAUAAUAUAUUCAUGGGGGGGGUUGGAAAGUUUCAGAGGGUUUGGCUGUCACUUAUGGUUAUCUGCGUGCCGGAUUGGCAGGUUGGUAAGGUAGCGGCUUACGAAGGCAACGAUGCGUGGGCGACCUGAGAGGGUGAUCGGCCACACUGGAACUGAGACACGGUCCAGACUCCUAGGGGAGGCAGCAGUAGGGAAUCUUCCGCAAUGGGCGAAAGCCUGACGGAGCAACGCCGCGUGAGUGAUGAAGGUCUUCGGAUCGUAAAACUCUGUUAUUAGGGAAGAACAAAUGUGUAAGUAACUAUGCACGUCUUGACGGUACCUAAUCAGAAAGCCACGGCUAACUACGUG
rnacentral:rRNA from 1 species